AUACACCCACUGACACUGAGCCUC
rnacentral:siRNA from 1 species